AAAAAGGGUUUCUGCUGUGAAUAGCACACGGAGGGUGACUAUUGUUAUCCUUCGUGCGGAAUCGCAAUCAAGAGAUUUCGGAAGCAUAAUUUUUAAUACCGGGGCUGCUAGUGAUCUUUUGUCCUGGCGCCCCA